rnacentral:rRNA from 1 species
AUGGUGGUGCGCGGCGGGGUGGGCGGGCAUGGCGGCGUAUGGAGUGUAAGGGUCGGCGACGGCCGGGCCGCGGCCGGGCGGGAGGAACGGGGAGGGCCCGGUGGCGAAGAGGUGCUCGGUGGCCGCGUCGGUCCCGGAGCCGGAGGAGUGGCUGCCUCCCCCGCCGCCGCCGCCGUUGCCGAGCCCCUGCAUGCGCUUGAGGUAGAGGCGGUACUUCUGGAGGUGGGACGCGACGUUCUCGCGCGUGAGGCCGUCCACGCUCAUCAGCUGCAUUAUGGUCUUGGGCACGGCGUUCUUGAUGCCGAGGUGCGCCACGGCGUCGACGAACCGCUUGUGCAGCUGCGGCGUCCACACGAGGCGCGGCCGCUUGAGGGUCCUCGUCGAAGCGCGCGAACCAGCUUGGCUCCUCCUCCUCCCUCAUCCUCCCAAGCCCGGAGCAGAGCAAUUCGCCGGCUUGGCCGCAGUCCUCCGCUGGCAGCAGCAAGCGAGAGAGCACGGGAGGAGGGCGUGGGGAGGAAGGAGAGGAUGGGGAGGAGGGAGGGGGUUACUUCGAGGUGGAUCUCUCUUCUUCUAAGCUUUCGUCUCUCUCUCUCCUCUCUCACUCGUUUGGGUCUUUCUUUCUGCCCGCUGCUGCGGCUGCUGCUGUGA